ACCUAAGACUAAAUCACUGUCAGUGCGCACCCAAUCUUGGGAGAUAUCGAAAGCUAAGCAAAGUUGAGCCUGGUUAGUGCUCGGAUGGGAGGCUGUCUGGUUAUGCAAGGCAUUGUAGGCU
rnacentral:rRNA from 1 species